GGAGACACUAAAUUACUUAGAAAUUUGAAGCACACUCCCUCAAAAAACCACAAGCAUAAAUAAAAAAUAAAAAUAAAACAAUCAAGUACCUGUUGGCAAGACGAUCGACAACCAAUUCAUUCACAACAUAAGAGACAACCCUGUUGAUGAAAUUCCCACCACCAGCCAUGUUUGUGUCUCAGCUUCAAACUGCAAAUUAUUCAAAUAUCAUAAAAAUAAAAAGCAAAACCCUUAAACGUUGAAGACCAAAAAUUCAAACUUUUCAUAGAGUUAUCGCUAUUCCCUAAAUUU
rnacentral:lncRNA from 1 species